AUUGAACGCUGGCGGCAGGCCUAACACAUGCAAGUCGAGCGGAGCGGCAGACGGGUGAGUAAUGACUAGGAAUCUGCCUGGUAGUGGGGGAUAACGUCCGGAAACGGGCGCUAAUACCGCAUACUAUCACAUGAGCCUAGGUCGGAUUAGCUAUGUGUUGGGGUAAAGGCCUACCCAGGCGACGAUCCGUAACUGGUCUGAGAGGCUGAUCAGUCACACUGGAACUGAGACACGGUCCAGACUCCUACGGGAGUCAGCAUUGGGGCAUAUUGGACAAUGGGCGAAAGCCUUCUCCAGCCAUCCCGCGUGUGUGAAGAAGGUCUUCGGAUUGUAAAGCACUUUAAGUUGGGAGGCGUUACCUACAGAAUAAGCACCGGCUAACUUCGUGCCAGCAGCCGCGGUAAUUC
rnacentral:rRNA from 1 species